AAGCUGGUGGUGAAGUGGUUAGGAUUCGGCGUGCUCACUGCCGCGGCACGGGUUCGAUUCCCGGUCAGGGAU